rnacentral:misc_RNA from 1 species
AUUCGAGCACCACGACUUAGACGAACAUCCCGUUAUAGAUUAUCAUGUCCAAAGCCUCAAAGAAGGGUCGCUGUAAGGGCCACCACGGGUGUGUAUGUCAGACGGUCGAUGCCUCACAGUGUACCAUGCCUCCACCCACACCGCCUGCUGGGGCUCAUGCCUCGUCUGGAGGAUAUCCGACCAUGAGGUACCCGGGGGGAGGACCCCAGAGUAUCAAUGACCCUGUGAGUACGAGGUGUUUUUUCAUUUCCAUGUUGGACAUAGAUAACGUUAAUCUCUGGUGAUUGUUUUACAAAUUAUCGUUUUCUUUUCUAUUGUAAUUAGCCGGUGCCCGUUAUUGCGCCAGUAUCUGGAGGAAUAUUCCCAGGGAAAAUGAUUUUCAUAAGUGGAGUACUAAAUCCCAAUGCAAAAAGGUACAAUUUGUGCGACUAAAUAGCUUGAGCUUCUUUCAAACACCAUAUUUAUAAUGCAUACCCAUGUGUUUGGAAUAUGUUUCACUGAUGUUUCUUUCUUUCCGAAAGACAUUCCUUAAUAUGCAAAGAAAACUAAGUAGGUUCUGUAAUAUUAAAAGUAAAAUAGUUUCUCUAAUAAAAAUUUAGCCAAUUAUAUAUUAUAUAAUAUAUCAGAAAUCCGAAAAUAAACUUCUACUUGCUUUUUUGCGAUGUUUGUAAAAACCCAGUCGUCGCAAUAUUUCUUAAGUAUUAUCGCGACUGUCAUUCUUAUGGAAGAACCUCAGUCCGGAACAUUAAACGUCCGACCUAAUAUAACUAACUUGGAUUACAUUAAAUUAACAGAUAUUGAGUUUAAGAGAUUAUUACUAGUAUUUACAAAAACUCAAAUCUUGUAGUCAUUCUUAUGUUGAGAGGGGUCUCUAACUAAUGGUGAAAGUAUGAUCGAAAUAUGUCAAAGAAGUAUAGCGCCUUUUCCCAUUAUUUCGCUUAUAAGAUAUUCAUAAAAUUAAAGGACUAUCAUAAAUAACCGGUCAUCAUAUACACCAUUACAAGAACCGUUAAUGCAACAUACACAUUCUAUACCCUCAGAAACCAAAAAAGCAAACUCUGCCUACAACGUUUUUUUUUUAAUCCACACCUGGUGCAUAUAUCUAGGCUCACUUUGUUGAAUAGACGAUAUUUGCUUGAGUCAUCUAACAUUGAAAGAUACAUCUCAACAUCAUUUGGAUGUCCAUUUAAAUUUAAAUAAGAUUCGCCAUUUGAAUUUUUAGAAGAUUCCCUAUUUGAAUUUUAU